AGUUGCAGUGUCUUAAGCCGGGACACGAUUCCGCACACCUCGUGAUUAGUGCCCUUUUUAAAAAAAGAAAAAAUAAAACCCACAUUUUUGGGCCAUAUUGGCCAAAACUGGGCUCCCGCACGGCGGAACACCGGCAGCCAUUCGCUGCCUCGGUGCAGGGGCGGGUCUGCUCCGUGCGAUCGGGCCGUACGUCUCCCUGUGAGAAAUGUGACCGGACACAAUCACGGGAAAUUUGCGCUUUAGUUUCGGACAAAGGCGAGAGCCGUGGACCCGAGGAGGGGGGAAAUGAAGAUCUGGAGCACAGAGCACAUAUUCAGCUACCCAUGGGAAACGGUGAUCAAGGCGGCUAUGAGGAAGUACCCUAACCCCAUGAACCCCAGUGUGGUAGGUGUGGACGUCCUGGACCGCAAUCUGGACACUCACGGGCGCCUUCACAGCCACCGGCUCCUCAGCACAGAGUGGGGUCUGCCCAGCAUCGUCCGAGCGAUACUGGGAACCAGUAGGACUUUGACCUACAUUAAGGAACACUCCAUAGUGGAUCCAGAGGAGAAGAAAAUGGAGCUUUGCUCAACAAAUAUAACCCUGACUAAUCUGGUGUCUGUCGACGAGCGACUCGUUUACCAGCCGCACCCGGAAAACCCAGACGUGACUGUUCUGACCCAGGAGGCCAUCAUCACAGUAAAGGGGGUCAGUCUGAGCAGCUACCUGGAGGGGCUGAUGGCUCUCACCAUGUCGACCAACGCCCGGAAGGUACAGACGCCCAAGUGGUGCCGAGCUGCCUAGUUUAGACCCGCCUGUCACCUGGCAGAACCCAGACAAUGGGGGAUGGGAUGCGAUCGAGUGGAUUAUUAAGAACUCUGAACGGGAAAACGUGUCCCUGUGUGACCUGUACUGAGCAGCGACGUCCUCGCCACGUAGCACGGAGAUCAACAGUGACGUGACGUCAGGAACCUCCCGGGUCAGUCGGUGAUAUUGGGGCCCUCUGGGGAGAACCGGGCUGGCCCCGGUCACAAGGGUGGGGGGGGGGGGGUUUAAAUGCAGAGUUCCAUAAACCAAUAGGAGUUACCAAGUUGGGGUUAUUAUUUUGUCACUUGCCAUUUGUUGCAGUAUGUAUAUCUUGUGUUGCUAGCUUCCUUCUGUGGUCCUUAUGCUUGUGAGAUACCAAAGUCUGACCUUCACAGACACCUUCACAGGUCUGACGCAAGCAAGUUUCAACUCAAAACAAGGUCCUCUGUACCAUGAGCUAUAACAUAGCUAGGGCUAAUAUCGAUGCAGUAUUUAUUUAUACACUAAUUUAUUUAUUUAUUUAUUUAUUUAUUUAUUUAUUUAUUUGAGUGAAUGUUGACCUGUCACUGCAUAUUUAUAAGUGAAUAACGUUUGAAUUUUGAAAGGCGUUGGAGCAGAAGGAGAGGUUCAGAUCUUUUCAGCUGUGUUGCUAAUUGCCAGGGGUGCCUGAAGGCAAUGGAGGGACCAGCUCUGGACAGGGGCCCUUAAAUACGUAAAAUUAUACGUAACGUUGGUGAUUAUUUUGUCAGGGGGCUUAGAAUUUCUAGGUAUGCCCCUUGUAAAACUGGUCUGAAACUGCUUUAAACACAUAGCAUUUUCCUAUAACGUACAAAGAAAAAUGUCACAGUCACUUUCUGUUGAUUUAAGAGCAUCUUCCUGUAAUUGAAAUUUACUGGUUUUACUGGUCUAACUCUGUUUGUGACCAUAUGAAUUAGCUCUCAGACAAUGCUUACUGUGUACGUACUGAAUUUCACUGAGACCCUGAGAAAGUCGAUUGAGUCAGUGUUUUUAACUGAUGAUAGAUCAUGAGAUUACCUCGACUCCUCUACAUGCGUUACCUCAAGACGUGCCACCCUGUGAUUCACGUUGCAUGAUUGCUUGAAGGUUUAUAACUGAACCGAUUUUUCAGCUGGUCUGAUCUUCCAUGCCUCAUGAAUGCACGUUUUUUUUUUUUUGAAUAUCUCAUAUGUUCUGAAGGGCGAGCAUAUAACCUCACAACCCUCCACUGGAUACUGUAGGGUGACCUACUCUUUGAAGAAUGCUGCUGUGCGUACAGUGUUGGGGAAGUUACUCAGAAAAGUAAUCCAUUAAUGACAGAGGUGGAAAGUUCAGAUCCUGGUAGUUAAAAUCCAAACCAAGGUUUUGUUUCAACCAACCGGUUGAGCAUUAAGAGUGAUAGCCACAGAGUAUGCAACUGGUUGGUUGUAAUAAAAUCUUGGUCUGGAUUUGUACUUUCGGGACCUGAGCUUUUCACCUGUCUGUAAUGGCUUACUUUAGUGAGUAACUCCCCCAACACCGUGUACAUAUACUUGAGCGUUUCUUCAACCUCUCAGCACAUUUUGCAUGCUAGUUUUGCCCCGAUAAGCCAGAAUGUUUUCGCAUUAUUCAGACUUGACAAAAAAAAUGGAAGAAACUAAUAUUGAACUUGAAUUUCUUCUGCAGCUACUUUACUGAAAAUAAAGAUUAAUUAAUUAUUGUUUCUUUUUAAAUCAACAAAUGUAAUGCUAUAAUAUUAGUUACCUUUUUGCAAUAUCUCUAACUGAUUAUUCGGUAGACCUGUUUUCUUCCUUCCCAACUUUUAUCUUCUAUGUAAAGCACUUUGAUCUGCAUUUCAUAUACUGUAUGAAAGGUGCUAAAUAAAUAAAUAAUAGAGUUAGUAGUUACAGGAAAUCGAUGGAUGAAUGUUACUAAUUUUAUUGCAAUUUGGUGUAGAGUUGCAGUGUUAUGGAUUGGCAUUAUUAGUGUAUUAUUCUUAUUGGGAGGUACUGAGAGAUUAUCCAGUGCAAUGGAAUUUUGGAGUUUGUUCUCAAAACGAGAGCCUCCCAGGCUGAGACUGGCAGCUUAGCUUACUGUGCUGGACCUGCACCUUCUCAGAGUUCAUAGUUAGUUCAUAGUUCAUAAUCUCUGCCUCAGUUUAUUUGUGGCUCCCACGCUAAGGAUGUCUUCCCAUCAUAUGUGCAGAUUUGUGUUUGCUGACUGGCCUCAGAGGCUGCAGUUGAGUCCUUAGCUUGUGCAUUUUUUUUCUGUCUGAUGAGCAUCCAGAUGCAAAAUUGUGGACUGCAAUUCUGUAUCUCUUAAUUAAAGGUUUAUAAGUCUGAAAUACCGGUAACACUAAAAAAUGAGAUAUGGUUGGAAUUAAAUGUUUGUGUGUAUAUGUAGGCUUUUUGGAUUUCAACAUUUGUUUUUAAAAUAACGCCAUAAUCUUGUAUGUUUUGACAAGGAAAUUGGUCUAAAAUGUUGGUUUUAGGGGAAUAAAAGCUUGUUAAAAUCUUGUAUAACUAUAUUCUUAUCUGGUUUCUCACCAUUAAAAAGUUAGGAUUUGAAUAAUUGUUAAUUUCUCCCAAGUUGGUAAUAAAGAGCUAAUGUAUCAUUGUUGUAACAGGAGAUAAAAAGGUUAAAAUACAUCAAGCCAAUAUAUGAAAAUUAGUUUUGCGUUAUGUUAAUAAAAUCAACUUAUUUUAAACUUA